AACGAACGCUGGCGGCAGGCUUAACACAUGCAAGUCGAGCGCCCCGCAAGGGGAGCGGCAGACGGGUGAGUAACACGUGGGAACAUACCCAUCUCUGCGGAACAACUCCGGGAAACUGGAGCUAAUACCGCAUACGCCCUUCGGGGGAAAGAUUUAUCGGAGAUGGAUUGGCCCGCGGUGGAUUAGCUAGUUGGUGGGGUAAAGGCCUACCAAGGCGACGAUCCAUAGCUGGUCUGAGAGGAUGAUCAGCCACAUUGGGACUGAGGCACGGCCCAAACUCCUACGGGAGGCAGCAGUGCGGAAUAUUGGAAAAUGGGCGAAAGCCUGAUCCAGCCAUGCCGCGUGAGUGAUGAAGGCCUUAGGGUUGUAAAGCUCUUUCACCGAUGAAGAUAAUGACGGUAGUCGGAGAAGAAGCCCCGGCUAACUUCGUGCCAGCAGCCGCCGUAA
rnacentral:rRNA from 1 species